UACGAGGGUUGCUAGCGUUGUCCGGAAUUACUGGGCGUAAAGGGUCCGUAGGCGUCUUGUCAAGUUGAUCGUUAAAUCCACCGGCUUAAUCGGUGAUCUGCGAUCAAAACUGGCAGGAUAGAAUAUGUGAGGGGAAUGUGGAAUUCCUGGUGUAGCGGUGACAUGCGUAGAUAUCAGGAGGAACACCAAUGGCGAAGGCAGCAUUCUGGCACAAUAUUGACGCUGAGGGACGAAAGCGUGGGGAGCAAAC
rnacentral:rRNA from 1 species